rnacentral:rRNA from 1 species
GACGAACGCUGGCGGCGUGCCUAAUACAUGCAAGUGGGACGCAAGGGAACACACUGUGCUUGCACACCGUGUUUUCUUGAGUCGCGAACGGGUGAGUAACGCGUAGGUAACCUGCCUAUUAGCGGGGGAUAACUAUUGGAAACGAUAGCUAAUACCGCAUAAUAUUAAUUAUUGCAUGAUAAUUGAUUGAAAGAUGCAAGCGCAUCACUAGUAGAUGGACCUGCGUUGUAUUAGCUAGUUGGUAAGGUAAGAGCUUACCAAGGCGACGAUACAUAGCCGACCUGAGAGGGUGAUCGGCCACACUGGGACUGAGACACGGCCCAGACUCCUACGGGAGGCAGCAGUAGGGAAUCUUCGGCAAUGGACGAAAGUCUGACCGAGCAACGCCGCGUGAGUGAAGAAGGUUUUCGGAUCGUAAAGCUCUGUUGUAAGUCAAGAACGUGUGUGAGAGUGGAAAGUUCACACAGUGACGGAGCUACCAGAAA